rnacentral:lncRNA from 1 species
GCUCGCCCCGCCCCCGCUCGCCCCGCCCCUGGAUUUGCUCCCUCAAAGCGGAGGUGAGGCCGGACUGAGGCUCUUACAGUGGUCCCUGCUGGCCCUUGGUGACGGGUCGCGUCAGUUCCGACCCGGACCCGUACGCUGCUGCGCUGACGUGGCUCCUGGAAGCAGGGCUGGCGUAGGGCCGCCAUGUUGCAGCAGGAUAGUAAUGAUGACACUGAAGAUGUUUCACUGUUUGAUGCGGAAGAGGAGACGACUAAUAGACCAAGAAAAGCCAAAAUCAGAAUGUCACAGGUAGACUAAUGGUUGGCCUACGUUGGUGGAAUCACAUUGAUGAAGAUGGAAAGAGCCAUUGGGUGUUUGAAUCUAGAAAGGAGUCCUCUCAAGAGAAUAAAACUGUGUCAGAGGCUGAAUCAAGAAUCUUUUGGUUGGGACUUAUUGCCUGUUCAGUACUGUGGGUGAUAUUUGCCUUUAGUGCACUCUUCUCCUUCACAGUAAAGUGGCUGGAAUCUGAACCUGUGAUGUUAAGAAAUCAGUAAAUAUUAAAAAGAAGAUGGAUGCAAGAAGGAUGAAGAAAGAAGUAGGACUCACAGAAAACACUGGACUUCCCCGGAAGCUACUUGAAAAACAUGACCCCUGGCCGGCCUAUGUCACCUAUACCUCUCAGACAGUGAAAAGACUCAUUGAGAAAAGCAAAACUAGAGAACUGGAAUGCAUGCGUGCCCUCGAGGAAAGACCCUGGGCAUCAAGGCAGAAUAAACCUUCCAGCGUCAUUCAGCCGAAAAGGAGGAAGUCUUCCAAGUCUUCUGGCAAAGCUGUGUUCAGGGACACGCUGUCAGAAUCCACGUUAUCAAUGUGGGGCGCUUAUUCGGUAUUGGCCAUGGCUCCUACCAUGAUCCCAGAACCCACACACUUACAUGCGGAUUCCAGAGACUGUCCAACUGAAAACUAUAACAAGAUCAUCUUUGCCCGCAAGCCUAUGAUGAGGAUGCUCCCUACAGUUCGCUACUGACCAACAAGGAGAAACAUGCAAAUGUUUUAGCCAGGGGUCCCUGCAGCCAUUCCCCAAGAACGUACAAAAGUUAAGCUCCAUUUACCACUCACUUGACAGUGUCCUUUAAAUCUGAACUUGCUCUUGCUCAUGCGGAGCUUGGCUAAGAGAAACCAGAUCAGAAUGCAAGCUGUAGGUGGGUGGGUGAGUGUGUCCCCUCCCACACUGCUCUCUGGUGGGUUUGGGCAGUCCCUGGCUCUAGUCUCUGCUGCAGAUUCUCAGGACCAAAAUGUGGGUGAUUUGUCUGGGUCCAGGCAGGAGACAGAAAUCACACAAGCUCUUUUAUUAGAGAUAAUAUAAAGAAUGAUUAACCAGGUGACAGUAAAGGGCAGGAAGGGAAUACAAAGGUAUCCAUGGAGGUAGCACCACAGGAAGCAGGCAUCACACUUGAGGCUUGGGAACAAGGGGAAGAUGCUGGACUCAUUGAAAGGUGGUUGCUUGGAGAAGGGACAUGGGGCUGAAUCUCAGACUUCUGAGGUGGGGGAGUGGGGAUGCCACUCAAUGCAGCUGGUAUCUCUGAGCUCUGAGGAGAGUCCUGUGGGGAUGGUGCCCCCUCCUCUGAAUAGGGGAGAUGUUUUGUUGGUGUCUCUGAGGGGACCCCCAUGAGGCUGCUUUUGUGAGUGUUGGAAAAACCAAAAACUGCAUUGAAAUGUUUCUGGGAGGAGUUGCCACUGCCUGGGUGAAGAAAAAGCACUGCUAGGGUUAGCAACCUGUCUGGCAAGGGACAGGAAGCUGAUAGAAAGUGAACAGGAAGCAAACAGGAAGUGAGCAAGGGGCCACUUCCUACUUCCUCCUUUAGCCUAGCAGAUUCCUUCUAGCUCCCCCUGGGGGCUGAGCCUAUCAGGGCACAAAGCCAGAAUGUGGUUUGUAGAAUCCCAGCCCCAGCAUCUCCAAGCAUAGGAUGGAUUUUGAAGCCAAGAGGGAAUUAGCUCUCGGCCGGGUUCUGAGUGAUCCCAUCCAGCUGCUCCUGGACCUGGUAUUGAGAGGUUUUUCCCUUGGAGGGCAAACAAAGUGGCAGUGGGGACCAGGGUGUCCCCUGCUGAGAAAUGGAGAGCUCUUUUCCCCUGUACUUCUCUGGGGUUUGCCUUGUGGAACCAAGUGCUUGGGGGAGGAGCUCCUGGCAGGACUCCAGCUGUUAUUUGUCAGAGGACAGCUAGGAUUGGUUCACCCUUGCUCUGAGUUGGCCCCAAAGCGAGCUAUGCUGAACUCUUCUCCAUCUCCAAGCAGACAACCUUUGUCUUUACAUGCAAGAGGGAUCCAAUUAUGACAGGCUGACCCAGCUGGUUUCAUGUUUGGGGUUUAUCUACUGAGUAAGGCUGACCUUACCUGAGUUUCUGUAUGUGUAUUUGCAAGACAGUUAAUACUAAUCCAUCAUCCCUCACAGAGAUGUAGAGGAUGAGAUGUAGUAACUUAUAGCAGUGUCAUUUGGAAAAGUUGAAUUUGCCCUACAAGGCAUGUUCUCCAUUCAAGGGUCUUGUGUAAACGUUUGCAGACACAGGUGCAGCUUUGGAGAACUCACCUCUGGCUCUUGUGCUUUUAUGUUGGGACAGCUGCCUAAAUUAGGAGCUCUAGACCUGUUAUUGGUUCCCAACUGUUGGCCAGAAUGAAUUCUUCGAAAAAUAUAGGUGGUUUCCAGGGAAUUUGAAUGAUUGUAUUUUGUGUCCAUGGAACGUUUAUAGACAUGGAGGCAGGCAAUAAAUUCCUCCAAUAAUUUUUUUA